rnacentral:rRNA from 1 species
AACGAACGCUGGCGGCGUGCCUAAUACAUGCAAGUCGAGCGAAUGACGAGGAGCUUGCUCCUCUGAUUUAGCGGCGGACGGGUGAGUAACACGUGGGUAACCUGCCUGUAAGACGGGGAUAACUCCGGGAAACCGGAGCUAAUACCGGAUGAUAACGAGAAGCGCCUGCUUCUUUUUUGAAAGUCGGUUUCGGCUGACGCUUACAGAUGGGCCCGCGGCGCAUUAGCUAGUUGGUGAGGUAACGGCUCACCAAGGCGACGAUGCGUAGCCGACCUGGGAGGGUGAUCGGCCACACUGGGACUGAGACACGGCCCAGACUCCUACGGGAGGCAGCAGUAGGGAAUCUUCGGCAAUGGACGAAAGUCUGACCGAGCAACGCCGCGUGAGCGAUGAAGGCCUUCGGGUCGUAAAGCUCUGUUGUCAGAGAAGAACAAGUACCGGAGUAACUGCCGGUACCUUGACGGUACCUGACCAGAAAGCCACGGCUAACUACGUGCCAGCCGCCGCCGUAAAAC